AUUGAACGCUGGCGGCAGGCCUAACACAUGCAAGUCGAACGGUAACAGGAAACAGCUUGCUGUUUCGCUGACGAGUGGCGGACGGGUGAGUAAUGUCUGGGAAACUGCCUGAUGGAGGGGGAUAACUACUGGAAACGGUAGCUAAUACCGCAUAACGUCGCAAGACCAAAGAGGGGGACCUUCGGGCCUCAUGCCAUCGGAUGUGCCCAGAUGGGAUUAGCUAGUAGGUGGGGUAACGGCUCACCUAGGCGACGAUCCCUAGCUGGUCUGAGAGGAUGACCAGCCACACUGGAACUGAGACACGGUCCAGACUCCUACGGGAGGCAGCAGUGGGGAAUAUUGCACAAUGGGCGCAAGCCUGAUGCAGCCAUGCCGCGUGUAUGAAGAAGGCCUUCGGGUUGUAAAGUACUUUCAGCGGGGAGGAAGGGAGUAAAGUUAAUACCUUUGCUCAUUGACGUUACCCGCAGAAGAAGCACCGGCUAACUCCGUG
rnacentral:rRNA from 1 species